rnacentral:rRNA from 1 species
ACCGUUCAGGGGUAAACCUGAGAAACCUAAAAGAUCGAAUGGGGAGAUUCAUCGUCAAUGCGUUCAGUAUAUGUGCAGGUUAUGAUAUGAGUUAUCCUUGGAUAAUACUUAUACGUUCUUGUACAUUUUACUGCUGAAUGUCGUCGGCGUGCACUUCUCCCCUAGUAGGACAUCGCGACCCGUUGAGUGUCGUUCUAUGGCUCGAAUGGUAGUCUUUAAUUUUUUUAAAAUUGAAGACCUUCGGUGACCUGAUCGGCUGCUCGACGGUAAUAACAUACGGUAUUGAGUCGCAAAAUAUUUUUGCGUCUGGCCCGUCGCAAGCGCGGUGAGUAUCUCGGCAGUGCGGAUUUAAUGCCGUCGUUGAGACUGACCAGCUGUUGGUUGUACGGUGUUCUUAGACUGAUUCAAACAAUAAUUACCGGUCAGCGAUGCUACUGCUUUGGGUACUUUCAGGACCCGUCUUGAAACACGGACCAAGGAGUCUAACAUGUGCGCAAGUCAUUGGGAUUUAUUUUUAAUAAUUAAACCUAAAGGCGCAAUGAAAGUAAAGGUCGUCCUUGUGUCGACUGAGGGAGGAUGAGUUACAUUACGAUGUGAGCUCCGCACUCCCAGGGCGUUUCAUUCU